AAGAUCAUACUUUUAGGGAUCAUUUCUAUAGUGUGCAUCUUGAAAACGUCAUCAAAUUAUGACGAAACCUCAACUACGAUGACGAGUUGUAGGGUUUCCUUCUGAGCAUGAAGUUUAGUUCACUGUAUCUUCUGGUGCUAUGAGCUAUUAAGGAUUGUUCUUUGAUUUCCAUUAGGAGAUCUUAGAGGAAGGUAUCUCCGGCUGAGUAGU
rnacentral:snoRNA from 1 species